GAGUUGGUGUAGCUCAGUGUUAGAGUGCAUGCUUUGUACGUUUGAUUUCCUGGGUUCAAUCCACCAAUCAACCCA